rnacentral:rRNA from 1 species
GGAGGAAAGCAGGGGAUCGCAAGACCUUGCGCUUUUGGAGUGGCCGAUGCCUGAUUAGCUAGUUGGUGGGGUAAUGGCCUACCAAGGCAACGAUCAGUAGUUGGUCUGAGAGGACGGCCAGCCACACUGGGACUGAGACACGGCCCAGACUCCUACGGGAGGCAGCAGUGGGGAAUUUUGGACAAUGGGCGCAAGCCUGAUCCAGCAAUGCCGCGUGAGUGAAGAAGGCCUUCGGGUUGUAAAGCUCUUUCAGUCGAGAAGAAAAGGUCGCGACUAAUAAUCGCGACUCAUGGCGGUAUCGACAGAAGAAGCACCGGCUAACUACGUGCCAGCAGCCGCGGUAAUACGUAGGGUGCGAGCGUUAAUCGGAAUCACUGGGCGUAAAGGGUGCGCAGGCGGCUUUGUAAGUCAGAUGUGAAAUCCCCGGGCUUAACCUGGGAA